AGCGCGUCCGUCCCCGCCCCCCGUGACCCCGCCCACGGCCGAGCCCACGGUGCCCACGGGCACCCGGCCGCGGACUGUCACCUCGCCGCCGCCGUCGCUCGGAGUUCGCGCCCCGAAGUCAAGCUGAGGACUCGGGACCCUCCCGCGGGCCCACGGUCGUCCCUUCGGUGGCUUCUGACUUAGAGUUCGGACUGAUCUGCACCCGAAUUCAGCUUCCUAAGAGGUCACAGAAAGCUCCAGGUCGUCACCAAGAGCAGCUCUUCUGGUGGCUGUGGAGAGAAUCUCGUCAUGAAGGUUCAGAUGGCAUUUACUUUACUCCAAACAAGUGCUCAGUCCACGGAGCCUCCAGAGACGCUUUCGCCUCUAGACCCCAUGCUUUGCACGUGGCAAAGACCCACGAGCCUUGUCAGACGUUCUGUACACAGACUGUGACUGUGUCUCGAUUCCCAGUUCUGGGAACUUCCACCACUGGGACCAAGUGAAAGCCUUGGAGUUGGUCCACAAAAGCUGAGCAAUCUUGUAAAACAACAUAAAUUAGGAAGGAACCUCACGUGGUCUACUCUGACAUUUCCAUUUGAGGCUGGUCAUAGUCAAGUGUAAUGCAAAAUGUGUUGGCUCAUUGCAGUUGACGGGCUGGGAGAAGGGAGAGAGCAUGUGUGAUGACAGUGACCUUGAGCUCUGAGGCAGGGGAGCCUGUGUGAUGACUGUGACCUUGAGCUCUGAGGCAGGGGAGCCGGUGUGACGACCGUGACCUUGAGCUCUGAGGCAGGGGAGCCGGUGUGACGACCGUGACCUUGAGCUCUGAGGCAGGGGGGCCUGUGUGACGACCGUGACCUUGAGCUCUGAGGCAGGAGGGCCUGUGUGACGACCGUGACUUUGACUUCAGAGGCAGGGGAUCAUGUGUGAUGACAGUGACCUUGACUUCAGAGGGAGAGGUGCCUGUAUGAUGACCGUGACCUUGAGCUCUGAGGCAGGGGAGCCUGUGUGACGACCGUGACCUUGACUUCAGAGGCAGGGGAGCCUGUGUGACGACCGUGACCUUGAGCUCUGAGGCAGGGGAGCCUGUGUGACGACCGUGACCUUGACUUCAGAGGCAGGGGAUCACGUGUGACGACCGUGACCUUGAGCUCUGAGGCAGGGGAGCCUGUGUGACGACCGUGACCUUGACUUCAGAGGGAGAGGAUCAUGUGUGACGACCGUGACCUUGACUUCAGAGGCAGGGAGCCUGUGUGACGACCGUGACCUUGAGCUCUGAGGCAGGGUAUCACGUGUGACGACCGUGACCUUGAGCUCUGAGGCAGGGGAGCCUGUGUAAUGACUGUGACCUUGACCUCAGAGGGAGAGGAUCAUGUGUGACGACCGUGACCUUGACUUCAGAGGCAGGGGAUCAUGUGUGACGCCCGUGGCCUUGACUUCAGAGGCAGGGGCGCCUGUGUGACGCCCGUGACCUUGACUUCAGAGGCAGGGGUGCCUGUGUGACGC
ensembl:lncRNA